GUUCAUUAUGAAGUUGAAUUACCAAGCUUGACAUUAGAAUUUUUGAUAGCCGACAAAAAAUUUGCAGGAAUAUGGAUUUGGAUGUGAAAAAUGGUAAUAUAAUUGUAUGAUAAUGAAGAAAAUAUUAAUUUACAAGUUUUCUUCUCCUACAUUCAUACAUUAUCCAUAUCCAAAUGCCUGACGACAGAGACUAUUUCAUGGAUCUUUGACAUUAUAUCGAGCAGAAUCACAAUUUGCAGGAAAGAAGGUUUCAAGACAAAGAGUGCCAUAAUUGUAAAUAUGGCUAAUCUAAUACUCACUCACAAUAGCCGUUGAUCACAAUACCAGAAAAAUUGGCCUACCUUAGAAGUACAAAAGUUCCGAAGAAUUAUUUCUACUGCAUGGAGCAAAAAAUGUUGUUAUUUUCAUGUAUGUUUAAAUAGAAUCACAAAUAAACAUGAAUUUGUAAAUUUA